rnacentral:rRNA from 1 species
AACGUAGGUGGCAAGCGUUAUCCGGAUUUACUGGGCGUAAAGCGUGUGCAGGCGGGGGUGCAAGUGGUGUAUGAAAUUUCCCAGCUUAACUGGGAAGGGUUAUGCCAGACUGUACUUCUGGAGUGCGAGAGAGGGGCGUGGAAUUCCGGGUGUAGUGGUGAAAUGCGUAGAGAUCCGGAGGAACCCCAGAGGCGAAGGCGGCGCCCUGGCUCGCAACUGACGCUCAGACACGACAGCAUGGGGAGCGAACGGG